CCAGUCCCACCAUGACCAAAGCCUAGCCAGCAGGUCAGUAGUGAAGCCCGGGUGCGAUCUUGGUAACAAGGUGUGCGGAGCAAGGGUGGAGCGAGAGUGUAGGCCAUUUAUUGAGCCCCGAAAUAUUGUAGAGUGGCGGUCAUUUGGAUAACCAUUGAUAGAUGGGAAAGCUAACGGUUUGCCUGUGUGCCGGAAAGCAGCAGUCUCAGUAACGCCUUGGCAAGUUGCUGCGACACCGCCGGGGUCUGAGAACA
rnacentral:ncRNA from 1 species